GGUAAUACGUAGGGUGCAAGCGUUAAUCGGAAUUACUGGGCGUAAAGCGUGCGCAGGCGGUUCUGCAAGACAGAUGUGAAAUCCCCGGGCUCAACCUGGGAACUGCAUUUGAAACUACGGGGCUAGAGUGUGUCAGAGGGGGGUGGAAUUCCACGUGUAGCAGUGAAAUGCGUAGAGAUGUGGAGGAACACCGAUGGCGAAGGCAGCCCCCUGGGUUAACACUGACGCUCAUGCACGAAAGCGUGGGGAGCAAACAGGAUUAGAUACCCUGGUAGUCCACGCCCUAAACGAUGUCAACUAGUUGUCGGGUCUUAAUUGACUUGGUAACGCAGCUAACGCGUGAAGUUGACCGCCUGGGGAGUACGGUCGCAAGAUUAAAACUCAAAGGAAUUGACGGGGACCCGCACAAGCGGUGGAUGAUGUGGAUUAAUUCGAUGCAACGCGAAAAACCUUACCUACCCUUGACAUGUCUGGAAGUUUGAUGAAAGUCAGAUGUGCUCGAAAGAGAACCAGAACACAGGUGCUGCAUGGCUGUCGUCAGCUCGUGUCGUGAGAUGUUGGGUUAAGUCCCGCAACGAGCGCAACCCUUGUCAUUAGUUGCUACGAAAGGGCACUCUAAUGAGACUGCCGGUGACAAACCGGAGGAAGGUGGGGAUGACGUCAAGUCCUCAUGGCCCUUAUGGGUAGGGCUUCACACGUCAUACAAUGGUCGGUACAGAGGGUUGCCAACCCGCGAGGGGGAGCCAAUCUCAGAAAGCCGAUCGUAGUCCGGAUUGUAGUCUGCAACUCGACUACAUGAAGUCGGAAUCGCUAGUAAUCGCGGAUCAGCAUGUCGCGGUGAAUACGUUCCCGGGUCUUGUACACACCGCCCGUCACACCAUGGGAGCGGGUUCUGCCAGAAGUAGUUAGCCUAACCGCAAGGAGGGCGAUUACCACGGCAGGGUUCGUGACUGGGGUGAAGUCGUAACAAGGUAGCCGUAUCGGAAGGUGCGGCUG
rnacentral:rRNA from 1 species